rnacentral:rRNA from 1 species
UAACAAUUGAGUUUGAUGAUGGCUCUGAUUGAACGCUAUCCAAGUGCUUGACACAUGCUAAUUAGACGGCAUAAUAAAUAAAUAGUUAUGUAGUAAUGUACAGGUGAGUAGAUAAUAUUUUGGCUACCUUAAAGUAAGGUUAGAUACCUUAUAAAUAAAGAAACGAGAGUUUUGCUUUAAGAUGAGAAUAAAUAUUGCCGGUAAAAUAAUAGUAGUAGUUAAAGUAAUAAUUUAACUAGCUAAUUACCGUAAUCGUGACUGAGAGGUCGAUCGAUCACAUUGGGUCUGAGAAAACCCCAAUGCAUAUUAGUACAGCAGUGAGGAAUAUUGGUCAAUGGCUUAACGGCUGAACCAGCAACUUGGAAGAAAGUAGAUAAUAUAUAUAAUAUUAUUAUUUAAUUUCUAAAUAGAUUUAUGAUUAUGACUUUAAUCUAUUUAUAAGUCUUGACUAAAUUACGUGCCAGCAGUCGCGGUAAUACGUAGAAGACAAGUGUUAAUCAUCUUUAUUAGGUUUAAAGGGUACCUAGACGGUAAAUUUAAUCUGAAUUAAGUUAUUAGUUUACUAGAGUUUUAUGUGAGAAAGAGAGAACUUUUAGAGGAAAGAUAUAAUUUAUUGAUACUAAAAGGACUGAUAACAGCGUAGGCAACUUUCUAAAUACAAACUGACGUUGAGGGACGAAGGCAUGGGUAACGAAAAGGAUUAGAUACCCUAAUAGUCCAAGCAGAAAAUUAUGAAUGCUAUAAGUUAGUUUGAUUUUAACUUAUAAAUGAAAGUUUAAGCAUUCCACCUUAAGAGUAAGAUGGCAACAUUGAAACUGAAAUCAUUAGACCGUUUCUGAGAACAGUAGUGAAGUAUGUUAUUUAAUUCGAUAAUCCGCGAAUAAUCUUACCACAAUUUGUAUAAUAUUUAUUUAUUACAAGCGUUGCACGGCUGUCUUUAGUUAAUGUCGUGAGACAUGGUUAAUUCCUUUAAUUAACGCAAACCCCAACUUUAUUUAUAUUAUAUAAAGUAAUUCGCCAAAAAAAUGGUUAGAUAAUAGGGAUUAAGACAAGUCAUCAUGACCAAAAUAUUGUGGGCUAUAGACGUGCUGCAUAUUCCUUAACAAAAGAAAGCUAGAUUGAAAAAUGGAGCUAAUUCUUAAAUAAGGAUAUAAUAUGAAUUAUUGUCUGUAAUUCGACAAUAUGAAUUAGGAAUUACUAGUAAUCGUGAAUCACCACGUCACGGUGAAUUUUUAAUCAGUUAGGUACUAACCACUCGUCAGGCGCUGAAAAAAGUAUAUACAUUAAGUUUAAUCUAUUUUUCUAUACAUAAUCUCACUUUUUAUUUAGAUUUAUAGUAUUUUCGUAUGUAUGACUUUAAUUGGUGUUAAGUCGUAAUAAGGUUCGUGUAAUGGAAAUUGCACGGGAGAGAU